AUUGAACGCUGGCGGCAUGCUUUACACAUGCAAGUCGAACGGUAACAGCACUUCGGUGGCUGACGAGUGGCGAACGGGUGAGUAAUACAUCGGAACGUGCCUAGUAGUGGGGGAUAACUACUCGAUAGAGUAGCUAAUACCGCAUGAGAUCUAAGGAUGAAAGCAGGGGAGCUUCGGGCCUUUCGCUACUAGAGCGGCUGAUGGCAGAUUAGGUAGUUGGUGGGAUAAAAGCUUACCAAGCCGACGAUCUGUAGCUGGUCUGAGAGGACGACCAGCCACACGAGGACUGAGACACGGCCCAGACUCCUACGGGAGGCAGCAGUGGGGAAUUUUGGACAAUUGGCGCAAGCCUGAUCCAGCAAUGCCGCGUGCAGGAUGAAGGCCUUCGGGUUGUAGACUGCUUUUGUACGGAACGAAAAGCCCUCUUCUAAUACAGGAGGGUCAUGACGGUACCUUAAGAAUAAGCACCGGCUAACUACGUG
rnacentral:rRNA from 1 species